rnacentral:lncRNA from 1 species
AAAUAAGUAAUCCUCGACUUCCAUGACAUUCGGUCUGAACCCCGUAAAUUUAUGCAUUCAGAAACCUAAAAUAUCUCAAAUUUAUGAAUUACCCACUAUCGAUAGUUUUUAUGACACAAUACGAUGUCAUAAUAAAUGUAGUGAACAUAUGAAUCACACACGAAAGGCCAGUAUACCACAUCAAGUGCACAUGUACUGGUGCGUGUGUGAAUUACAUUUACCAAUUACCGAACUUACCGAUUACAUCAUGGUCGUAAAUAUGAACGAUCGUAAUUCGAGGACUAUCCAAUGAUCAGUUAAGAUCGAUGAAUCGAUCACGGUUUAUAUUAUUCGAUUUUAGGUCUUUUUGAAAUCCGAAAAGAUCAAAAUCAGAUGAUUACGAUGCCAUUUAAUCUAGCGGAG